UACGUAGGUGACAAGCGUUGUCCGGAUUUACUGGGCGUAAAGAGCGCGCAGGCGGUCGUUCAAGUCGAGUGUGAAAGCCCCCCGGCUCAACUGGGGAGGGUCAUUCGAUACUGAUCGACUCGAAGGCAGGAGAGGGAAGUGGAAUUCCCGGUGUAGUGGUGAAAUGCGUAGAUAUCGGGAGGAACACCAGUGGCGAAGGCGACUUCCUGGCCUGUUCUUGACGCUGAGGCGCGAAAGCUAGGGGAGCAAACGGG
rnacentral:rRNA from 1 species